GCUCAGAUACGCCGGCAGUCCGCACGGCCUCAACAACGACUAUUACAAUCUUUAUGCCCGCAGGUGUCGUCGCUAAGAUACGCCGGCAGUCCGCACGGCCUCAACAACGACUAUUACAAUCUGUAUGAAGGCACGUACUUCCGCGGCGAAGAGUUCAGAGGCGACGAGGACGCCGCGCAGUUGGGCGACUUGGAUCUUGCCGUCUCGUCCCUGAUAGUGACUGGCCAGGCCGCGUGGACUUUCUAUACAGGCCUUGACUUCACUGGCGCCACCGUCUGCGUGUACGCCGAUGAAACAAACACCAACAGUGGCAUUGACCUCGACUUCGCACGCAUCGAAAAUCUGAGCGAGCUCGGCCUGCCCGACAACUCCGUCAGGUCC